rnacentral:lncRNA from 1 species
AUGGUGCUGUACAGAGCUGUCGCCCCCUGCAGUGGUGGUGGCCUGUACUGGGAGGGGCAGAGUCAGAGCUCUGGAGAGAGGGUGCUGUGGGGCUUUGGCCCCCUGGUGGUGGUAGCUUUUACUACAGGGGGCAGAGUCAGGGCUCUGGGGGGCUGUCACCCCAGUGGUGCUGCAGUGACCCAUGGCACCAGUGCUGGGGCUUGUACCUCUGCCCUGCAGGUUCUGCUACGAGAGCUCCCGCCUGGAAGACCUGGCGGGGCCGCCAGCAGCCCUGCCCUCGGUCCGGGGCCUCAUACAGCGCGAAAAGCAGCAGCACAUCCAGGCACCGAUCAAAGGCACCUCCUAGAUAAAAUCCCAGCUCCGCAAGGACCAGGUCGAGGUCCAGGUCUUCAUGCAGAGGAAGCUGCUGGGCCUGGAGCAGGGCCCGGAGCAGGACAUGAUGCUGGAGUCGCAGCAGCUGCACGGAGGGGUGGAGCGCGAGGUCCAGCAGCUGGGGGCCGUCACCCUCCCCUGCCUUCUGCGCCGCAGCCUCCUGGGGUCCCAGCCCACGAGCUCUCCAUCCAUAGGCUGGACUGGAUGGCGCUCGCCCUACAUCGGGCCUUCCUCACUGUGUGCCAGGCUUCUGGCUUCCCUCUCUGCAAGGUGAGAUGCACACUUGGUGGAGCAAUGGGGCAGGGAGUGGGGAUGUCUCCCCACAGGGUGG